rnacentral:rRNA from 1 species
UACGAAGGGUGCAAGCGUUAAUCGGAAUUACUGGGCGUAAAGCGCACGUAGGUGGUUUGGUAAGUCGGAUGUGAAAUCCCCGGGCUCAACCUGGGAAUGGCAUUCGAGACUGUCAAGCUAGAGUCUGGUAGAGGGUGGUGGAAUUCCAGGUGUAGCGGUGAAAUGCGUAGAUAUCUGGAGGAACAUCAGUGGCGAAGGCGGCCACCUGGACUGAGACUGACACUGAGGUGCGAAAGCGUGGGUAGCAAACAGGAUUAGAUACCCUGGUAGUCCACGCCGUAAACGAUGUCAACUAGAUGUUGGGAGGGUUAAACCUUCUAGUGUCGCAGCUAACGCGCUAAGUUGACCGCCUGGGGAGUACGGCCGCAAGGUUAAA